CCUGACUAGCAGUUCUCAGCUUAACUUUUCCCUUUGGCUUGGUGAUUUUAGGGUUGUGAGAUCUAUUUUCCUUUUACAGGUCCAUUUGAGUCCUUGCUCCCUUUUGCUAUUGUGGCCAGGGAGGCAGCUGGUGGCUGAUUGAUCCCCUUUCCCUCUGGAGCUUCAACUGGGACUGUCCUGGAGAUUGGCUACCAUCAUGUCCAUCAGGGAAGAGGCCUGAGGAGUUGACCCUGAGAGUACUCACCGAUUAACCUCCUAUAUACUGACCUUCAUCUCAGGAUCUGCUUCUUGGAAAAACUGAACUGCAACGCCAUGGUUUAUGUUUUACGUACAAACUGAGUCCGCAUAAAGCUUUAUACAGA
rnacentral:lncRNA from 1 species